rnacentral:rRNA from 1 species
AGUGAACGCUGGCGGUAGGCCUAACACAUGCAAGUCGAACGGCAGCACAGUAAGAGCUUGCUCUUACAGGUGGCGAGUGGCGGACGGGUGAGGAAUACAUCGGAAUCUACUUUUUCGUGGGGGCUAACGUAGGGAAACUUACGCUAAUACCGCAUACGACCUACGGUUGAAAGCAGGUGAUCUUCGUACCUUGCUCGAUUGAAUGAGCCGAUGUCGGAUUAGCUAGUUGGCGGGGUAAAGGCCCACCAAGGCGACGAUCCGUAGCUGGUCUGAGAGGAUGAUCAGCCACACUGGAACUGAGACACGGUCCAGACGCCUAAGGGAGGCAGCAGUGGGGAAUAUUGGACAAUGGGCGCAAGCCUGAUCCAGCCAUACCGCGUGGGUGAAGAAGGCCUUCGGGUUGUAAAGCCCUUUUGUUGGGAAAGAAAAGCAGCAGGUUAAUACCCCGCUGUUCUGACGGUACCCAAAGAAUAAGCACCGGCUAACUUCGUG